UCAAUGAAGAGUUUGAUCCUGGCUCAGAACGAACGCUGGUGGCGUGUCUUAUACAUGCAAGUCGAGCGAGGCAGCAAUGCCGAGCGGCGAACGGGUGAGUAACGCGUAAGCAAUCUGCCCCCUGCUCGGGAAUAGCCGUGCCAACACGCGGAUAAUACCGGAUAUCGUGGGGUCCUGCAUAGGACCUUGACAAAAG
rnacentral:rRNA from 1 species